UGGGGAAUAUUGGGCAAUGGGCGAAAGCCUGACCCAGCGACGUCGUGUGGGUGAUGAAGGCCUUCGGGUUGUAAAGCCCUGUCUGGUGGGAAGAAGGGCUUGGAGACUAAUAAUCUUCAGGCUUUGACGGUACCACCGGAGGAAGCACCGGCUAACUCCGUGCCAGCAGCCGCGGUAAUAAGGGGGGUGCAAGCGUUGUUCGGAAUUACUGGGCGUAAAGGGCGCGUAGGCGGUUGUGCAAGUCAGAUGUGAAAUCCUCCGGCUCAACUGGAGAACGGCAUUUGAUACUGCAUGACUCGAGUAUUGGAGAGGGAAACGGAAUUCCCGGUGUAGAGGUGAAAUUCGUAGAUAUCGGGAGGAACACCGGUGGCGAAGGCGGUUUCCUGGCCAAAUACUGACGCUGAGGCACGAAAGCGUGGGUAGCAAACA
rnacentral:rRNA from 1 species